GACGAACGCUGGCGGCGUGCUUAACACAUGCAAGUCGAACGGAAAGGCCCUGCUUUUGUGGGGUGCUCGAGUGGCGAACGGGUGAGUAACACGUGAGUAACCUGCCCUUGACUUUGGGAUAACUUCAGGAAACUGGGGCUAAUACCGGAUAGGAGCUCCUGCUGCAUGGUGGGGGUUGGAAAGUUUCGGCGGUUGGGGAUGGACUCGCGGCUUAUCAGCUUGUUGGUGGGGUAGUGGCUUACCAAGGCUUUGACGGGUAGCCGGCCUGAGAGGGUGACCGGCCACAUUGGGCCUGAGGUACGGCGCAGACUCCAACGGGAGGCAGUAGUGGGGAAUAUUGCACAAUGGGCGGAAGCCUGAUGCAGCAACGCCGCGGGCGGGAUGACGGCCUUCGGGUUGUAAACCGCUUUCGCCUGUGACGAAGCGUGAGUGACGGUAAUGGGUAAAGAAGCACCGGCUAACUACGUG
rnacentral:rRNA from 1 species